GAGAGAUCUGACUUCAUUCCUUCACUUGCCUCUUAAUUCCGGCUGUCGGUUCACUGUCCUUGCUUCCUGACCGGGGAGACAAGCGUCUUAAACAAACCCAAACCUCUGAGAACACAGGGGGUGAGGCAGGGCAGCCGGGCCUUGUGCACAGCGCUGCCAGGCGGAUUUGGGACCGGAGAGGCUGGGACAGAGGGACAAUCAAAUCUAGAGAGAACGGCAGGUCAGUCUGAAGAGGGAGGCCAAGGAUUGGAGUUUAAGAGGGGGAAUUCAACAUAGAAACCAGAAGUGACAAAGGAAAAGAAUGACAACUCUGACCACAUAGACACGAAAACCUUCCAAAGACAGACACCAAACCGGAUAAACACACGAACCCCCCCUCAACAAGGCUGAAACUGAAAUGAUGAGCUGAGGAAAUAUUUGUAACCUAUCGACCAUGACAAAGGGUUCAAUCCAUUGUGUAAAAAGACCUUACAGAUCAGUAAGAAAAAAGCAAACAAAUAGCAAUUUGGAAAAGGACAAAAAGGCCGUGCGCAGAAGUGCCCACAGGCAUCCAGCAUAACGCCGAACACGGAAUCCUGUCGAAGAGGCAGGAAGCAAAAUGACAAGAUGCCACUCUGCCCAACAGGCUGGCACAGAUUUAAAAGUGAAUACCCAGUAUUGCCGAGGAUGUGGGGAAAGAGCCCUAUGGGUCAGAGUAUGACUCCGUGCAGUGUCUUGGGGCGGGAGGGGGGCAACUUGGCAACGUCUAUCAAGUUCUAGAAUUGUCACAUGUGCUUCUCCUUUGAUCUAAGAAUCUUUAUCGUCUGCAAUACCAGGAAGUACCCAGGUGUCACCUGUCCCCACUCUGACCCUAUGCCAGAAGGUGGGAUGUUCCAAUUGUCUUAAAAAGGUGGGAUGCCCCAGACCUAGUGUGGUUUUCUCAGUGAUAUAAAAGGGUCACCUCCUUGCAGUCGACUUUGUGAGCAGGACCAUGUGGCCCUGUUGAGGGAGACGCUGGGAAGAGAGAACCCUGUUGUUUCACUUAGGACCAAACCUUGAAGACCUGUGGUGACAUCUCUAUUCAUUAGGAACUGUGUCCAAUGACAAGUAGAAGAGACCUGGAAAAUAGUGGCUUAGAUAAAAAUAGAGGUUUAUUUUCGCAGGCCACAGAAGUCAGGGAGUCCCAGGACAGUUCUAGCCCAUUCUCAUGAACCUACAAUCCUUCUGUCUCUCUGCUCUGUUAUAUUCAGUUUGACUCCAUCCUCAAGGUCACAAAAUGGUCACUGGAGUGCCAGCCAUCGUGUAUACACUCCAGGCAGGAAGAAGAAGGAAGAAAACCAAAAGGGCACCCGCUGUUUUCUUUUUGGAGCUUUCCUGGAAAACCUGCCCAGCAGCCUCUGCUUCUAUCUCAUCAGCCAUCUUUAUUGGCUUGGGAAGUGGGAAAUAGAAGUCUUUUGGCUGCUCACCUGGUCACUUUGAGCAGGCUCUUGUUCCACAUCCAAUCCCAGUUUUCUUUUACCUUGUUUGGGAUAUUGAGGGACAAGGAACUCUCUGAUGCUUGCAACUGCUAAAAGCAAGUCAGCUUGAUUUCUGAAACAAAAUGCUUUAAAACAGGGGCUUUGCUAAUG